AUUGAACGCUGGCGGCAGGCUUAACACAUGCAAGUCGAGCGGAGAGAGGUAGCUUGCUACUGAUCUUAGCGGCGGACGGGUGAGUAAUGCUUAGGAAUCUGCCUAUUAGUGGGGGACAACAUUUCGAAAGGAAUGCUAAUACCGCAUACGUCCUACGGGAGAAAGCAGGGGAUCUUCGGACCUUGCGCUAAUAGAUGAGCCUAAGUCGGAUUAGCUAGUGGGUGGGGUAAAGGCCUACCAAGGCGACGAUCUGUAGCGGGUCUGAGAGGAUGAUCCGCCACACUGGGACUGAGACACGGCCCAGACUCCGACGGGAGGCAGCAGUGGGGAAUAUUGGACAAUGGGCGGAAGCCUGAUCCAGCCAUGCCGCGUGUGUGAAGAAGGCCUUAUGGUUGUAAAGCACUUUAAGCGAGGAGGAGGCUACUUUAGUUAAUACCUAGAGAUAGUGGACGUUACUCGCAGAAUAAGCACCGGCUAACUCUGUGCCAGCCGCCGCGGUAA
rnacentral:rRNA from 1 species